GGUUCCAUGGCUCAGUUGGUUAGCGCGUGGUGCUAAUAGAUCUCGCCGCGAGAUUCAGUUAACGCCAAGGUCGAGGGUUCGACCCCCUCUGGGACCA